rnacentral:rRNA from 1 species
UACGGAGGGUGCAAACGUUGCUCGGAAUCAUUGGGCGUAAAGCGCACGUAGGCGGCCUGUUAAGUCGGGUGUGAAAUCCCCGAGCUCAACUCGGGAACUGCGUCCGAUACUGGCGGGCUUGAAUCCGGGAGAGGGAUGCGGAAUUCCAGGUGUAGCGGUGAAAUGCGUAGAUAUCUGGAGGAACACCGGUGGCGAAGGCGGCAUCCUGGACCGGCAUUGACGCUGAGGCGCGAAAGCUAGGGGAGCAAACAGG